AUCUGUGCGCGUGCGCGCGAGCCUGCGGUGUGUGGGCGUCUCUGCUGGCAAUUGCUCAAACAAAUGUAUUAACUUUGACCUGCAGCUUCACAGAAUAACGCUGGCACAAGUUUGUGAUAUGUUUGUUGUUUUGAAGAUGGAACUUCAGUAGUUGGUGUCACUUGUGUACUGAUGGACAAAACAUGUUGCUGUUCACUAUUAAAGCCCAUAAUGAAUGUAAUAGACCCUUCUGUGCAAGUACUGGAUCUUAACUUCUUGAAAGCUGAGGGCUCAGUGACAGUGUUGCUGGAUCAUUUGGGAGAUACUAUGCCUGCACUGCAGUUUUCCUCAGCUUCGAUGCAAUUUUGGCAGUUGUGUGGCAGCGGAACCAGGUUACAUGAGCUGACUGAGAAAUAUGUUCACAUUGAUCAUCACGUUCUCCCACUUGUGGUUAGUUCGGAUAUCUCAAGUGUUGGUAUCACGUGAGUUACAUUUGAGAUAGAUGUUCAAGUGAAACAUUACAUUUAAGAAGAGAUAAGCAGUGGGAUACUCAACAAUAGAAAGGUGAAUAGUUAUGUACAAAAUGAUUGUCAAUGUCCUGUAAUAUUCACACGUUGAGUGUGUUGAAAUAUAUCCACCUCUAUGUUCUGUGUGAGUGAUACUGAAAGGAUUAAGUGGAAAUCACUGUGGACCACAAAUCUUUCUUGCAAGCUUGUGUGUAACAUAAGAAGCUGAAGAAAAUGCCACUGGAUGCACAGUCUCCACUGCACCACAUCUCUGUGUCAGCUUAAUGGCUUGCUGUGACCUGAUGUCCAACUGAGGAAUUUUAAAUCUGGAGCCAUUUCACAUGCAUUAAGGUGUCAAGAGUGGAUUCUGCAUUGUGGAAACUAUUCAUUGUUUGACUUGCAGCAGAGUCAGGUGCGUAAUAAAUUCCCAUUGCUCUUCACUUCACUGACAAUUCUUUUAUGAAUGAGUUGAAAACAAAAUUAGUACUUAAUGCUGUGCCAAAUCCAAAACCUCUGGAAGAGGCUGCAGACAUAGGAAACGAAGAGAACAGUAGACAACACAGCGAUUACGAAAUGCACCAACAAGGAAGCUCUUCGCCAUCUACCCGUGAGCCAGUCCAGAUACGUUGGUGCCAACAAAUUUUACACCAAGAAAACGACAGGUGACACAAAGAAUUGACGAGCAAAAGUUAAAAUUGACAAAGCAGAGGAAAAAACUGUGGAGAAUGCGACAUCUUGCCACGAAGAAUCCUGACCUAAAAGCUGUGGCAACAGAGGCUGUUAAGAAUAUGUCUCCAAAAUGUGGAACAUUAUUUGGUAUGCAACUGCUACACAAGCCUUUCACUCAUUGGACGGAAGAGGAGAGACGGCUGUCGUUGAGUUUAUUUUAUAAAAGUCCUGCCGCAUAUGACCAAUUAAGAAGAGAAGUUGGAGUGAAACUGUCUUCGAAAAAAAUUAUUCAGAAGUGGGUCAGUGAAAUGGAUAUUAUAGCGGGCACAGAAACUAAACUAUUCGAACAUCUUGUAGAAAAAGUGAAUACAAUGGAUGAAAGUUGCCAAGAUUGUGUAUUGGUGUUCGACGAAAUGAGUGUGAGGAAGUGACUCAGCUACUGCGCUAAGUAUGAUGUUAUUGAGGGCUAUGAAGAUUUUGGCAGUCUAACACUUACGUCUAAGGUGGCAACACAGUCUCAUGUUCCUUGUUCGUGGUCUGUGGCAAAAAUGGAAAUUACCUGUUGCCUAUUUUACGUCUUGUAAACAGACCAAAUCUGAUGUAAUGAAACAGUUGCUCUUCGUUGUAUUAGAGAAACGUUUUACUGUUGGCUUAAGGGUUUGAAGUUGCACUGUUUGUGAUCAAGGGUCCAAUAACCGUUCAUUAGUGCUUGAUCUCGAUGUUACAACUGAAAAACUUUCUUUCAGUAUCGCAACAACGUUUUAUACGUUAUGUACGAUCCUGUCAUCUCCUGAAAAGCUUUCGAAACCGUUUGAUGGAGAGAGAUAUCCAAACUGAUUCGAAUGGUAUUGUGUCUUGUCAAGACAUUGUCAAAAAGUGUCAACUAGACAGGAAGGGAAGUAAGGCAAGAAUGUGCUGCUCUUUCAGUCACAAACACGUCAGUUCAAAUAAUUUUGAAAUAAUGAGUGUUCGACUUGCAACGCAAGUGUUAGUCAUUCUGUCUCGGCCACUACUCUAUCAGCGUAUUCCACGUCGGAGCUUCAGAGCAAACAGUGAUGAAUACAGAUUUCUUUCUGGCAAGACUGAACAAUUUGUUAGAUUCAAUGAAUAGCGAGACCCUCUAUGCUUCGAAACCAUUCGCCUGUGCUCUAGCCACUCAAAACGGUUGGUUAGAGGAUUAUCUACAGGACUCCCUGGAUUGGGUAAAAACAUGGAGGGUCGUUAACCCUCCACAGAAACACUGUGAGAUUCCUCCAUGUUUUACGUAGUGGUAACAGAUUUUUCCUGCCUAAGCAAGGGCAUUGGCUACGAGCUCCGUCCAAUUCUAGAAUUUGCUAUAGUAAAAGACAUCGAUAAAAACAAUUAAAACGCAACAGCCAGUAGGACGCUGGGUGAGCAGCAGCUCUGCAUGGUGAUACCAAGAACGGAGGCGUCAGUCAUGUGCAGCGCUUAGCCGCUACGAACAGGCUCGGUGGUCUAGAGGUUCGCCGGCACGGUAGCUCAGCGUGUUCAGUUAGAGGGUUAGCAGCCCUCUGUAAUAAAAAAACUGAGUUAAUGGAUCAACAACGAACUUAAACGGGUGUCUUACGACGUCCGUCCCGAGCAGAUGCAACGAACCAAAGUGAACAAAAUGAGAUAAAAAAAGGGUAUGAUUCCUGCUUCGGGUGCAGGAGGUCCUGGGUUCAAAUCCCGGGCUAGCCCUUGCGUUUUGUGCAAACAUGUGGCAACUACCGGCAUGCCGGCGGCUGUUCCGCGCAUUUCCAGCCUUCCAGGUAAGCACAAAAACCAAGUAGCCGGUUCUGAAAGAGUUUCAUGUAUCAUUUGAGCCAUCUGCACCCUGGUGGUGGGACGUUUGAGAUUGAUUUAAAUGGUCACAGUAGAGAUUGUAGGAAGUGCCUUGUUGAGUGCGACGAUAAAGUGUUUCCGCCCAGGAAUCGUACCUGGGACCUCCUGCGUGUUAGGCAGACGUGAUAACCGCUACACCACGGAAACUGCUACACUCUGAGCUCCACAUCUGACACAACUUGUAGGACGAUCGCAACUUUGGCGUAAAAAUCACUUUGCGGAAACGCACAAUGCAGGUAUUUCGCAUUCGUAUGCAACAAUCGACAGCACCAUUGCCUGUCUGAAUGCCAUCACGAAUAAGAGCCCAAGAAGUCGUCGGAAAUGCUCGCGGCCGAGUCCUCAGUAGCAUCAGCUACUCUUGCUUUCCAUACGAGCUACCGUUAAUUCGCGCAGUCGCUAUUGUAAAUGAUGUCACCAAAAGCAACCUGUUCGUUAGCGGCAAGAAGCCUGGGCUCACAAUUUGUGCUUUGUUGAUGCUGUGGAAUGACACGAAAAGCAACAUCGCUGGUGAACCUAGAUCCAUAGAAAAUGUAUUUUCAGUAAAACGAUCAGGUUCCAACAGGAAUCCCAGCGGCCAGGAAUUCCGCAGAAACUUGCAGCACAUAGUGGUAGCAUCACUAAUGAAACCUGUUGAUUUGGUGAACUGUGAACUCGAUGAAGACCAUUCUGUGCUGGAAGGCAACGAUUGUGUGACCUCUUCGGCAAUUAACGUUAGCACGAAUGGAGACUGCGAAAAACAUGUUUCGAAAAAAGCUGCACACGAAGCACAUGAGCUUGUGCACGGUGCUGAAUUAGAGUGACGGACUCAGCCAGCAUCAAAAAAUUUAAUUGUGACGUUUGUGUGUCGUAACUGUUUAAAGGCAAUGAGACUCUUGGAAAGUGCGGAUGAACUGUUAUACACAGGGUUAUUACAAAUGAUUGAAGCGAUUUCACAGCUCUACAGUAACUUUAUGAUUUGAGAUGUUUUCACAAUGCUUUGCACACACAUACAAAAACUCAAAAAGUUUUUUAGGCAUUCACAAAUGUUCGAUAUGUGCCCCUUUAGUGAUUCGGCAGACAUCAAGCCGAUAAUCAAGUUCCUCCCAUACUGAGGACAGCAUGUCUGUAUCAAUGAGUUCGAAAGCAUCGUUGAUGCAGUUCUGGCAUGUUUCUUGGUAGAGGAGGUUUAAACACUGAAUCUUUCACAAAACCUCACAUAAAGAAAUCGCAUAGGGUUAAGUCGGGAGAGCGUGGAGGCUAUGACAUGAAUUGCUGAUCAUGAUCUCCACCACGACCGAUCCAUCGGUUUUCCAAUCUCCUGUUUAAGAAAUGCCGAACAUCAUGAUGGAACUGUGGUGGAGCACCAUCCUGUUGAAAUAUAAAGUCGGCGCUGUCGGUCCCCAGUUGUGGCAUGAGCCAAUUUUCCAGCAUGUCCAGAUACACGUGUCGUGUAACGUUUUUUUCGCAGAAGAAAUAGGGGACGUAAACUUUAAACCGGGAGAUUGCACAAAACACGUUAACUUUUGGUGAAUUGCGAAUUUGCUGCACGAAUGCGUGAGGAUUCUCUACCGCCCAGAUUCGCACAUUUUGUCUGUUCACUUCACCAUUAAGAAAAAAUGUUGCUUCAUCACUGAAAACAAUUUUCGCACUGAACGCAUCCUCUUCCAUGAGCUGUUGCAACCGCGCCGAAAAUUCAAAGCGUUUGGGUGACUUUGUGCUCGGGUGUCAGGGCUUGUAGCAAUUGUAAACGGUAAGGCUUCUGCUUUAGCCUUUUCCAUAAGAUUUUCCAUCCCCGUCGGCUGUGGUACGUUUAGCUCCCUUCCGCGGGCUACGCGUGAAACUUGCCUGCACGCGUUCAACCGUUUCUUCGCUCACUGCAGUCCGACCCGUUGAUUUCCCCAUCCAGAAGCUUUAAACUGCACAUACCAUCGCUAAAUGGAGUUAGCAGUUAGUGGAUCUUUGUUGAACUUCGUCCUGAAGUGUCGUUGCACUGUUAUGACUGACUGAUGUGAGUGCAUUUCAAGCACGACGUACACUUUCUGUCUCCAUUUUGUCUUACUGCGCUCUCGAGCACUCUGGCGGCAGAAACCUGAAGUGCGGCUUCAGCCGAACAAAACUUUAUGAGUUUGUCUCCGUAUCUGUAGUGUGUCGUGACCAUAUGUCAGUGAAUGGAGCUACAGUGAAUUUAUGAAAUCGCUUCAAUCAUUUGUAAUAGCCCUGUACUUUACAAAGCCUAUGAAACGUCUGCGGAAGACUUGGGCGAAUUAAGAGCCCCUUCAGAAAAUCUGACCGCCGUAGUUAGAUCUAAUUUAAAAGUGUUCAACGACGUGUUCAAAACUGUCCAUCACCAGUGUGGCAUAAACUGCAGCCUUGGGAAUUCCUUGAUGAGGGACAAUGAACGUUUGUAUCCUCGAUGGCCUCACCUUGAUCUGUGCUCCAUGCAUCGAAACUAUAUCUUAGAAAUGCUUUGUAAAGUACAGCUGCAGAAGGAGCUACUUUGGAUUUCAAAUGAAAUUUAUCCAGCAAAAGACUCAAAAGCAUCCAAAGUUCGCGGGGUAAAUAAACAAAUUCAGACCAUAAAUUUGUUAUUGCAAAGCUAAAGUUUAAUUUUGCCUUACUAUGUAUUAUAUUUUACUGUGUUUAUUUUCUGUCUGCGGUUUGCUUAUUUAUGAACCGCUGUGUCUGUACAACACAUCUGUUAACUCUUUUAAUUUCCUUUAUUUCAUAAGAACAGUUAUAUUUAAUACCAUAUCUAUCACAUGAUUCUGAUUAGAUCUGAUGGGUUUUUCGUGGAAGCUCCGAUUUUUCCUCACAUGAUGUUCUGGGCGCAAAAGAACUUUAUAUCUAUGGAUAACAUGUAUUAAUCGAUGUCAGUUUCUAUAUGAUGUGAUGAAAUAGAUCUUUCUCGUAA